UUCCCGGUAAAAAAAAUCUAAAGCAGCCAUAUUAUCUCUCUCAAUCUCUCACAUUUUUGUUCAUACUCUCAUGGAGAAGAGAUCCAGGUCUCUCUUAGAUUGGAACAACGAAGUUGGUCAUCGAUCCCACUCUCAAUCUCUCAUGUCUCUCUCUCUCCCUCAAACUCUCAUCUCUCUUCCUCUCCACAAGCAGAUCUGUGUCUCUCCCAAUUGCAAAUUUGCAGCAAGGACGUUAGGGCAUGGAUUCUACGCUCAUCUCCACAUGGAAAUAGAUCGUGUCUCUCCCAAAUUGCAGCAAGGAAUUUAGGGCAUGCAUCUCCUGCGCUCAUGGAGCUUAUUACAGUAAAAUUAUUUUCCUCAUCUAGAUCAGGUUCGUAUUCUCAGUCCUUGCACUGAUUUAUUUUCAAUUUCUUUUUGCCGGUCUGGAUUCAAUUCUUUUCAGGUUCCUCUUCUCAGUCCUCACACUAAUUUGUUUUGAAUUUCUUUUUGCCAGUUCGGAUUCAGUUGUUUUCAUCGUGCCCUUUAAUAGUGUUGUCUAGGGAUUCAAUCUCCUUUAUCGUGUGUCUUCUUGAAGCUGAUGAUUGCCAUGGCAAAAUAAAAUCAGUGUUCUCGAUCCCUCAAAAAACAAAACAAAAAAAUCUUUUUGUAGCGCACAGAAAAGAAACAUGUACCUUAUAUGUAGAAAAAGACACGUCCAACUACAACUCCAGUCCUUCCAAUACGGGUGGAUCUCUAUUUUCUCACUAAUUGACCCUAUCAUUGACUCUCUGCUGUGAUUUGGCUUCCCCAAUCAUAGUUUUCUCAAUCCCUCAACCAAGAUGGGCAGGGGGUGGGGGAUAUGGAGAAGGACGAAGCUCCUGUUGUGGUUGGUGCCGUCGCAAAUGGUGGAUGUUGACCAUGUUGUUCCAUGGAGGGAAGGUAAUAUUGAAGAACAAUUAUCUCACAAAGACAUUGACCAUCCACUCAGCGCAACAGCAGGUUUCUAGGCCACGAUGGUUUAUGGAUCCAAGGAGUAGAUGCACUGACUGCAGUUUGAAGCCAAUGACUGAAUAAUUGCAGGUCUGCUUCUACGGCUGACGUAACCCAUCAUUACUAUCUUCUAGAUUUCAUAUAUUUAUUAUCACUAGAUGAAUUCAGGUCCGAUCGGGUCUUCCCUUUUUCACAUGUGCACAUUUUGCUAAAUGCCAUCUAAUUCCUGCCAUGAAUCACAAAUGGAAUUGCAGUCUGAAAGUUGUGGCACUUGAUUUGGACACACCAUAAAAACCAUAUGAUGCUCCAACAUAAAGUAUCUUCUGAUUUUUAAGUUCCACUUAUUGAACAAUGCACUUCAAAAUUCACAUUUAUGCUAUGCACAGACAUGCAGGUACACUGGAGCAUAAUUUUAUCAAUUACCUAUGGAAGACAGUCCAACAUGGAUGCUCUUAAGAGUACAUGUAUGUAGCGUUUCAGUUUCUAUAGCAUGCACUCACCCCUACCCGCCAUUAUACACUUGAUCUGAUGAUGUUCACUUAAACAAGUUAUUUCAUCAUAUUUUCCACACAUUUCGCUCAACUAAAACAUGUGUAUGUUCAGUUUGUCUUCUUAAUUUCUUGACCAAUUUGCCAACGAGGCUAAAUACCUAUGGUUAUUUUGCGCCAAUUGUCCUUUGAGAUUGUUAAAAGAACUUCCCCGAGAUAUGUAACACUGUUGCUCCUGCUACUUUCGGCCAUUAUAUUAUUCACAUUAUUCAGACUUCUAUAAAUGCGCUCCCAAUUGCAUAAUUUCUUAGCUUAUCGAUUUUAUUUCUUCUAACUUUAUAAAUUCAGAAAUGAUUAUAACAAGGCUGCUGAGUUGUUGGAUUUAAUACAUGUACGUCAAAACUUAUGGCUUUUCAAAACUAUUUGUUCCCUCUUUUGGUCCUCUAAUACACAUUUUCCCUUUACGUUGGAUAACCAAUUCACUUUUGAGCUCAUUUUCUUGAGACGGUGAAGAUUUGUUUUGCUACUCAUGUAUAGAUAUAAAAUUUUAAUGGUCUUCACAAUUCUAUCAAUCAAUAGAGAUUUGAACAAAAUCCGGUUGAUAUAAUAUAUACAAUUUGGCCCGCACAUGUUGUGAAGAGUAAUUUUUAAAGUAUAUUUACAAAGUAUUUUUUAUUUCUAUGCAUGUACAAUAUAUAUUAGGACACUGGACAUGCUCACUACUGGAAUUCCCAAUUUUUCUGAGUGCCAAAUGCACUCGGCAAAGGCCAAAAAAAACACGGCAGCACUAGGAAAACAUGACUAUAUUGGACGUCUGCCGAUAAUGUUUAUUUUGUCGGGUUCUUUUCUACAGGCACUAAGUAGACAACUGCAAAAAACUUCGCUCAGUGCAGAACAAGGGUAACUCGGUAAACAAAUGACACAGACCGAAUGAUGAGUCAAUGACCAUGCCACGUGGCACCAUAGUUUUGCCAUUUUCUGCACUCGGCAAAACUACGACCCAGUAGAGCUACCCAGAUGGCACCAUGUGUCAUGUUUAGGCAAAGGGGUCUUAGACACCAGACAUCUAACCUAACAGCGACUCUGAAUAUCCAUGUUGGUUGAUUGCUAGCCUGAUGCUAAUAUUUGAUGUGUUUUCCUCAAUUUAAAAUCCCCAGGCAGGAUGUUUCUAAAAUCUACGUAUUAACAUCACCUGCAUCGGAUGUUUCUGUAGCAUUUGAGGAUGCGCACAUGGUGUAUAUGCUGAUGAAGGAAGCCUAGGAACAAGCAUAUUUAUGAAAUACAUGGAGAAGAUGGUGUCCAAUAAAGGGAAAAGCAGCGAAGUAAAACAUGAUUAGUUUAGAGUGACAUGAAAGCAGACUGUCUUUCAACAAUAGGUGGAUUCUUAAGAUAACGACAGGUGUACAACACAAGAGCUAUAAUAAGGCCUAACAUGGUUGCUGGAAGAUAUAUUUGUACAAUAAUAGGCAUGCACAUGCAGCUGUAGCAAAAAGAGUUAAUAACUUAAUAUGAGAUAUUCAAUUCCAGUGCCUGAAUGAAAAUAGCUGAACAAAUUUCUGUAAUAUAGCAUCCCAAUAGUUUGUAUAAAUACGGAUGCAUGCAAGUGAUGAUAGACACUAUAUCAUGUCUGAUCCAUAAGUAAGUGUGUGUUGUGCAUUAAGUUUUCGAUUCUUUGUGAUAUGUUUUGAUUAGUUCUGUAGCAUCCAGUUUAACAUCUUAUGUUGCAGACAUUUGGUGAAGUAUCAGAAAGGAGAUUCUGUCGUUAAUUCUGCGUUACCAUGAUGGUAUG